UUGUCCCAAGCAACCAAAUCCUUUCUCUUGGCCUCCAACUCACCUGUCCAAAGAAACCUUCUAUAAAUUGAUUCAAUUUCCUGUAUAAUACCUUAAGGAAGGGGGAUGAUCUGGGACCAAAGGGACUGCACAACUAUCAAAAGACUCUUCAAUAACUGCAACCUUCUAGUAUAAGACAAAAAUUUUAUAGUCCAGGUAGUAAUCCCCCUAAUAUUUCAUCAAGUAAUGGUUGACACGAAGCUAUCAUGAGAUUCAUAGAGCUUAAAGGAACAACAAUAUUCUUAAAAAGUAAUCUACCAAAGGUAAAAUCAAGAUUCUAUAAAAUAUUUUAUAGAUCAAUUUUCUUAACUUCGCCAAAUAAAUGUUAGUCUUGCUCUGAUUUACAACAAAACCAGAAGCCUUUGAAAAGUGUUGAAAACAAUGAUGGGGUAAGCUGGUAGAUCUCACAUCCCCUGUACAAAAUAACAACAAAUCAUCUACAAAUUAAGUUGGAUAAGCUCAAGUUUUUUGCUCCUUGGAUAAUAUUGAAAGCUUAAUUUCUAUUGUAACACUUUGAGCAACCUUGUCAAGCACUCCAUUGCUAGUACAAAUAAGUAAAGGAGAAGUGGAUCUCCCUACCUAAUCCAUCUUUUAGGAACAAAAUAAAUAGUAAGGCAAUUAUUUAUUAAAAUGGAAUUGAAAAAAGCUUACAAGAACCUCAUAAUCUAAGAUAUAAACAUCUCAAAAAAAUUUAACCCUUGAAAAACUUGCUUCAAAAACCUCCAUUCUAGAGUGUCAUAAGCCUUUAUGCCUAUUUUUUCUAUCAUAACUUUUCACUAGUUCAUGAUUCAUUAUCACUUAAUAUUUUACUAGGGUCCACCAUCUACCAACUAAUCCAUGAAAGGCUUUAACCUAAGGGUAAGUAUCAUUGAGAUAAUUUUGUAUAAGGUGGUACAACAAGAGAUAGGUCUAGAAUUUGAUGGUGGAAGGGUGUUUAAUUUUGGGUACCAACGUAGCUGAGGUAGUGGUAAUAGGGGUAUGAUUUUUAUGGGAAUCAAAAACUAAAGUAUUAUAGUACUCACUAUAUACCACAUAAUAGUCUUGGACUUUUUAAGGAAAUAGACAUUAAAUCCAUGACUAGCUCAAGCAUUCAUGUCAUCAAUUCCCUGAAGAGCAUUAAAAAGAGCUUUUUGUAUGAAAGGGUGUAUAAGCUGGAGAUGUUGUUCUCUAGUGAGCGUUGGACCAUUUAACAAAAUAUUAGGAUCUACAGUACGUAGGGAUUAGUUGCUUUCCCAUAAGUUAUUUAUAAUACUGUACCACCUCCUUUCUAAUGCCAGCUAAGUGGAUAAUCUGAGUUUCAAUAUUAGUAGCGAGAAUUGUGACUUAAUUCUGCAGCUGCUUAUCCUUCAUACUUGAAAAGAACUACUUUGUGUUUGAGUCACCAACUUGCAACCACUUCAUCCUAGAUUAUUGUUUAUAGAUUCUCUCCUUUAUAGUACUCUAUUUGAUGAGUUUAUCCCUUGUAAACUUUUCAGCUUCAAACAAAACUAUAUCUGAAGCAACACUACUUAUCUAAAUUCAAAUGAUGUAUUGUGAUUCUUCACUCUUCCACCCUUGUUUUCAAUUUCAUGAACUCUUUUAUGUUUUAGCCUUGAUUUCCUGCCCAACAUUGUUCAACUCCAGCCAAAUUAUUUUCAUAUCACCUGAUUAAGUACUCCAGCAUGCUGUUACUUUUCUCUAAAAGUCAGGGUGGUCAGCCAAGCAAUUAUAAUGCCUAAAAGGUUUCUAUCCUAGUUUUUGAGGAUGAUCAAUUGCUAGACAUAGAAGGGAGUGAUCUGAAUAAGCAUUAUCUCUAACUUGAACCUGGUUAAAUGGCAUAUACAACAAUCAAUGGGCAUAGACUAUAGGCUUGUCUAUUCUACUAAAGAUAUGUUGAUUUAUUAAAGUAUAAUGCCUUUCCACUAUCCCUAGUUCAGCCAAUGACAAUCUAACAUAAACUCCCUAAAAUUCCCUAAUUCAUAAGCAUGUACAUCCACGCAUCCUAUCAUUUGGAUCUAAAUGGGAGUUAAAAUCUCCCAUAUGAACUAGGGAGUCUCAUUCCUCAUUCAAUUCCCCUCAGUUCUUUAUAGCUAGUGCAGAGUAAAUUUCAUAAGCUGUUGUGAAACAAAGUUCCUUAUUUAUGCUAUAAUUAUGAACCAAUCUAUGUAUAUACUGAGCCUUUGCAUCCUACAGUGUAAAUUUGACAACAUUUAGAUCCCAAGCAAGUCAAAUGAUUUUCUUGUCUAAACCUGAAGCAUUAGUGUACCAACUCCAACCUAGUGCAGUUUCAUUUAUUAUCAAUGCUACUUUUUCAUCACUAACUCUAUGCUUGAUAAUAGAAAUAAUACUAACUUUAUUUACUUUGAGAAACUAUUUUAUCUCUUUGUGCUUAGACACAUUACUGAAUCCCCUCACAUUUUAAGUCACUAUAAUUUAAGUAAUGUUAGACGAAAAAUUUUCAUCUCUCUUAUCCUCUCUACCACCAGUACUAAAUACAUCAUACUUUGACUUACUACCAAAACUUGAUCAAUAUAAACCUGGCUAGUACUAGCCCACCGAUUUGUAUUUGUCUUCUAAGCUAACCUAUUUUUCAGCACUUGCCAAGUAUUCUCCUCUUGAGUAACAUAUUUUCUUUGUGUCUUUGGUUUAUUAGGUCGACCCUAAAGCCACAACCCUGGAUUCAGGUGCAACAACAGUCCCACUAUUGAAGAUACUUGCAAGGUUUUUUCUCUGAUUCUUUCCUGCUUUUGGUUCAAAUACCUUGGUCUAGGAAGGUAUCUUCUUUGUUGGGGAGGGCCUUAAGAUGCUUUUUCUGGCAGUUAUGUCCUACCUGAAGGAAAUUAGAAUAGUAAAUUGGCUUCUUGUCAUAC
rnacentral:lncRNA from 1 species